UUGAUGUGGCCUGGUUCUUCCAGGUCCACUGAGAUAGAACCCCCUGUUUUUCGAGUACCAACUGUUUCCUCGGCGGGUCCGCCCGCCAACGGGGACAACCACAAAACCUUUGUAGUUGCAGUAAACGUAUAAAAACAAACAAAAUCA
rnacentral:misc_RNA from 1 species